CCUCCUUUUCUAUGAUUCUCUUUCCCUUCCUUCCUUUCCCAUUCUUUCUCUUCCUUUUAUACAGCUACUGAUCUGGCGUCCCAGCAGGGCAAGAAACAGAAAAAGAUGAAGAAGAGCAUUUUUAAUGCCCCUUCCCCUGAAAAAGUCAGGAGCCACGUUUAUUGAGAAAUCCUACCAAGGAAGAUCCGAGGCAUUCUUGGUGGAAGAUGCAAACGCUGCUCUGAGACGGUGGGAAGCACAUGGAGGCUGGAGAAAGGCUGAGUGGCAGAUCCCCAGCACACUAGGACGGCAGAUUUCCAAAAGAUCCCAGAGCAAUGAUUCUUGGUGAUCCAAUCUGUGGAAGCUCAAAGCUAACUUGAUCCUUAAAAGCUCUUUUUAGGGAUGUAGGAGACGGGACUCCAGGAAGAACAGGGUUUGGACAAGAUUGAGGUGUAACCAAGAAAAAUGAAGACUGGCAGACAAAAUGGAAAGGCACCCAGGACUUCAACAGACUUCAGAAACAUAGUCUGCAGUGUAUUAAUUGGAUGUAUUUCUUUGUGUACUUUUCCAGUUAUUCAAAGCUGUUACCAAUAAUUACAUUUUUUAAAACAAACGUGAUAGCCAUUU